rnacentral:rRNA from 1 species
AGACGGAGGGGGCUAGCGUUGUUCGGAAUUACUGGGCGUAAAGCGCGCGUAGGCGGACCAUCAAGUUGGGCGUGAAAGCCCUGGGCUCAACCCAGGAAUUGCGCUCGAAACUGGUGGACUAGAGUCCGGGAGAGGAUAGUGGAAUUCCCAGUGUAGAGGUGAAAUUCGUAGAUAUUGGGAAGAACACCAGUGGCGAAGGCGGCUAUCUGGACCGGUACUGACGCUGAGGUGCGAAAGCGUGGGGAGCAAACAGGAUUAGAAACCCGGGUAGUCC